rnacentral:tRNA from 1 species
GGAGGGGUUCCCGAGUGGCCAAAGGGGACGGACUGUAAAUCCGUUAGCUCAGCUUUCGAAGGUUCGAAUCCUUCUCCCUCCAUCA